GAAGGAAACCGGUUUUGAUCCGGUUGUCGGCGUCGCAACUGCCAGCUGCCUCUAACUCGGCUGUUAUUUGCUUGAUUUUUUCAGCGGCAACACUUACGAGAUCAGCUUUCUCACUGCAACCGACGACGAAAUAAGAAUCGUUUAAACAAAGGACGGACCGUAACAUUACCUGAGAAGCUUCGACAAAGCUGCAAUCGCCUCCUCGUAAGACUCACUUCCCAUAUCUUCUUCCUUAAAAAGGAAAAAGAAAUAAAUCAUUAAUUUCCGAGAAAAUUGAGUCUCGAGAUUUGAUUUGAAUCAGGAACAACGCAUAAACAGAA